rnacentral:rRNA from 1 species
GAUGAACGCUGGCGGCGUGCUUAACACAUGCAAGGUCGAACGGAGAAAGGGUAGCUUGCUAUCUUUCUUAGUGGCGGACGGGUGAGUAACGCGUGGGUAACCUGCCCUUUGCAGGGGGAUAACAGUGAGAAAUCACUGCUAAUACCGCAUACCAACUUCUUCGCAUGAAGGAAGUUUGAAAGAUUUAUCGGCAAAGGAUGGACCCGCGUUGGAUUAGCUAGUUGGUGAGAUAACAGCCCACCAAGGCAACGAUCCAUAGCCGGCCUGAGAGGGUGAACGGCCACACUGGGACUGAGACACGGCCCAGACUCCUACGGGAGGCAGCAGUGGGGAAUAUUGCACAAUGGGCGAAAGCCUGAUGCAGCGACGCCGCGUGAAGGAUGAAGGUCUUCGGAUUGUAAACUUCUAUCAGCAGGGAAGAAAGGGCCUAUGGCCUAUGACGGUACCUGACUAAGAAGCCCCGGCUAACUACGUG